rnacentral:sRNA from 1 species
AGGGCAGACUGCUGGGUACUAGGAGACAUGGGCAAGUGUGGCCUCCUGCUUUGGUGAGCAGAUUGGGUCCGGCUUGGGGCAGGCACUAAUGAUAGCUCUGCCUUCUCCAGGUCCCUCCAUCGACUGGUGGGUGUGAAGAUCCUCCUCUCUACAUCCUCCCCUAGCUGCUCCGGCUCUCUCCCUGGGCUCUCCUGCUCCUUUUCUAGCUGGAUCCAUCUCCGCUGCUGCUCCCUGGCCAGGUCUUCCAGCUUCCACUGCCGCAGCUUUUCCUGGUGCUCCUGCUCCAGCAGGGCCCACUUCUUCUGCCGCUGCUGCCACAUCUCCUCCUCCUCCAGCCACAGCUGCCUCCGCAUCUCCCAGCCGAAUUCCUCCUCCCAGGGCUCCUCUUGGCUCUCAGAGGUCACCUGCCUGGAGCUCUCUAGAGACAGCUGCUUGCUACAAUGGAACUUAAUUUGGAGUCCUCCCUUCUCCUGGAAGUAGUCCUCCUGGUCUUUGUCUUUGUGGCCUGAGCUUUCUGCCACCGGUCUUUCCCAUUUCUUAGGAAACCUGCGAUCUACUAAGGGUAAAAGCACAGGCUCAAGGCUCUCAGUGUCCUUGCUGCUGAACACAUCUGCGACCCUCGAGCGCACAGUCAUGGUGGAAAGUGGCUGGUGCCCUGCAGCUAUAGCACCAUUGUCCCGCAUCGUGGCCAUGGGACUUGGGGGAAGUGGUGAGAACAACUGCUCCUCCUUCAUUGGUUCCUGUUGGCUUUCCUCCGUGACUGUUUCUUUCCUUGGGAGGGUCUCUCUCUCAGAGGGACCCGGGGAGUCAACAGAAACCUCAGCCGGGUCUUCUGCCUGACCUGUAGCAGUCUGAGCCUUCUUCAGCUGGAACUCCAAGGCCUGCUUCGUCAGGAGAAGGUCAUGGUACCUUCCCCCUAAGAUCUCUACCUGCUUCAGCAGAGCAUCCCUCCUGCUCUCAAGGACCUCCACGAACUGCUGGAAGUGCAGCCUCUGGCUGCUGAGCUCUUUGGUUGCCUGCAUUUGCAGGUGCCUGUAUUUGGUCUCCAGGCUCCUGUUCUCCUUGUGUUGGAGGAUCAAGGCCUUGUUGAGGUUCUCCACCACAGUGGCCAUGUACCUGAUGGCCCUGACCUCCCACUUGCUGAACAUGGUAGAGUCCAGGAGCUCCUGCAGCAUGGAUGUCACCUCCGAGGCCUUCGUGUUCAUGGUAUGCUGGUCCUGGAGCAUCUGUUCUGGGCUCAGUGGCUGAGGAUGGGAUGGAGAUGUCUGUGGGCUUCUUCCCUGCCAGCCCUGCCAGAAGGUGCAUUUGGACACUGGGAGAGGAGCAUGGAGGUGAUGUGCUGUGACACGAGUGGUGGAAUGCUUCACUGGAGAAGGGGAUGUGUCCUGUGCUGUCCCUGUGCUCGCCACCCACACUCCCCUCCCAGAGGAGGCACGAUGCCCAGCCUGCAAACUCACCCCAGUCACCCAGCCAGCGGAGAAUGUCAUACAGGUGCUUCUCCUUCGUCUUAGCAUCUUUGGAGAAGGAGGCAAUUUUUUCCAGCAAGAUGAAUCUCUUCUUGCCCUUUGGAUCUGUCUGCUGAGAUUUGGCAUUUUCUUUUAAAUCAUAUCCUAAUUCUUCCUGGAAGCGGUUGAUGACACAAUUGACAUUGUCCAAAAUGUCUGAGAGCUGGGUAGAAAUAUCCUAUAGAGAAGCAGCAGAUUGUAGUGUUAGGGCUGUGUACUUGAGCCAGAAGCCACAUGCUAGCAGCGUGACCUUGGACAAGUCGCUUAGCCUCUUUGGGUUUCAGUUUUCUUAUAUUUAAAGUGGGAAUCAUUAUAGUACCUAUGUCACAGGGUUUCUAUAAGGAUUAAAUGAACUAAAU